CUUUGGGGCUUUCACGUUGAACUCGUCUAUCCUUCAAUCGGCAACGGCGGUGCAUCCUUUUCUUCGCGACGGUGACGGUAGUAUCAUCUCCGUCUCCGAUCAAACACUCAAAUCUCCAUCUCAAUCGAUCCUCUCUCUCGGCUCGUUUCACUCGCAACUCCCUCCCGAUUCGCCUCCUCAUCUCAUUUGCCUCUCUUAACCAUCCUUCAAACGUGAAUCUGAUCAACAAUAAGAAACGAAUUCCGACGGUGUUUCAACGGUCACCGGACGUCGCGUUGAAACUCAGAUUGUUGUGUUUACGUGAUGUUGUUGAAUGAAGCGUGAAGAUGAUGAUUGUUGCGUUGAAGGUAAUGAUGAUUCAGUGCGGUGACGAUUUUGCAGAGCAAUUAAGGAUUGAAUAUGUGAAGAAGAAGAUUGAAUGAAUUGAUUUAUGGAAUAGGUUUUUGAUACAUAGGAAUGGUUGAAGAUGGAGGAUCCAGAAGCGGCUAUGGCAAUGAUUUUCUGAGUUAUGGAUUCGGUUCAGAGAGGGAAGGUUAAAGGUGAUUGAGGAUGAUGAUGCGAUGAAGAUUAGGAUGAUUCAAGAUCCAAAGAUGAUGAGAGUGAAUGAAAGAUUGAAGAGUGGAUUGAAGGUUGAAGAAUUGAUGGAGAAUGAUGAUGAUGGUU